UUCGCAAUGCCCGAAAGGGUGAACGAGCGACGCCGCGUGCGGGAUGAAGGCCUUCGGGUUGUAAACCGCUUUUGCAAGGGAAAAACUUAAUGAUGGUACCUUGCGAAUAAGAGGUUACUAACUCUGUGCCAGCAGUAGCGGUAAUACAGAGACCUCAAGCGUUAUCCGGAUUUAUUGGGCGUAAAGCGCACGUAGGCGGCGACGUAAGUUGGGUGUGAAAUCCCCCGGCCCAACCGGGGAACUGCGCCCAGUACUGCGUUGCUUGAGGAUCCAAGGGGUGCAUGGAAUUCCCGGUGGAGCGGUGAAAUGCGUUGAUAUCGGGAGGAACUCCGGCGGCGAAAGCGGUGCACUGGUGGAUUACUGACGCUGAGGUGCGAAAGCCAGGGGAGCAAACGGGAUUAGAUACUCCGGUAGUCCUGGCCCUAAACGAUGGGCACUAAGUAGAGGGGUUUU
rnacentral:rRNA from 1 species